rnacentral:tRNA from 1 species
GGGGACAUGGUCUAGGGUUUGUCCAUCUCGUUCAUAAGACACACAAAUUCACAUACUAAUUAGGCCUAGGGUAUGACGAUCCCUUCGCACUAGCUCUAAUCAAUCAUGCAAAACAUGGUCAGAUAGACGCUACCUGAUUGGGAUAGGCCGCGGGUUCAAUUCCCGCUGUCUCCA